rfam:Schistosoma haematobium scaffold1265_17, whole genome shotgun sequence.
AUCCAGCCGAUUAGUCCCGAAUAGGACGAAACGCGCAUCCUGUAU